AGCAGUAUUAAAGUGCUUAUAGUGCAGGUAGUUACUGAUGGUCUACUGCAGUGUGAGCACUUCUAGUACUUCUAGAUGCA
ensembl:miRNA mir20 microRNA mir-20